rnacentral:rRNA from 1 species
CCACGGCUAACUACGUGCCAGCAGCCGCGGUAAUACGUAGGUGCGAGCGUUAUCCGGAUUUACUGGGUGUAAGGGGCGUGUAGGCGGCCGCAGCUGGAUGUGAAAUACCGUGGCUAACUGCGGGGCGUCAUCCAAAACUGUCGGUCUUGAGUGUCAGAGGGGAAAGUGGAAUUCCUAGUGGAGCGGUAAAAUGCGUAGAGAUUAGGAGGAACACCGGUGGCGAAGGCGACUUUCUGGCUGGCAACUGACGCUGAGGCGCGAAAGCGUGAGGAGCAAACAGGAUUAGAUACCCUGGUAGUCCACGCCGUAAACGAUGAUUACUAGGUGUAGGUGGUAUCGACUCCAUCUGUGCCGCAGCUAACGCAUUAAGUAAUCCACCUGGGGAGUACGGCCGCAAGGUUAAAACUCAAAGGAAUUGACGGGGGCCCACACAAGCAGUGGAGUAUGUGGUUUAAUUCGAGGCAACGCGAAGAACCUUACCAGGGCUUGACAUCCUCUGAUCACUGUAGAGAUACAGAUUUCCCUUCGGGGACAGAGAGACAGGUGGUGCAUGGUUGUCGUCAGC